rnacentral:rRNA from 1 species
UGAACGCUGGCGGCGUGCCUAAUACAUGCAAGUCGAGCGAACAGAUGAGGAGCUUGCUCCUCUGACGUUAGCGGCGGACGGGUGAGUACACGUGGAUAACCUACCUAUAAGACUGGGAUAACUUCGGGAAACCGGAGCUAAUACCGGAUAAUAUAUUGAACCGCAUGGUUCAAUAGUGAAAGACGGUUUUGCUGUCACUUAUAGAUGGAUCCGCGCCGCAUUAGCUAGUUGGUAAGGUAACGGCUUACCAAGGCAACGAUGCGUAGCCGACCUGAGAGGGUGAUCGGCCACACUGGAACUGAGACACGGUCCAGACUCCUACGGGAGGCAGCAGUAGGGAAUCUUCCGCAAUGGGCGAAAGCCUGACGGAGCAACGCCGCGUGAGUGAUGAAGGUCUUCGGAUCGUAAAACUCUGUUAUUAGGGAAGAACAAAUGUGUAAGUAACUAUGCACGUCUUGACGGUACCUAAUCAGAAAGCCACGGCUAACUACGUG